rnacentral:rRNA from 1 species
UACGGAGGGUGCAAGCGUUGUCCGGAAUCACUGGGCGUAAAGGGCGCGUAGGCGGCUCAUGAAGGCUGUGGUGAAAGUCCGGGGCUCAACCUCGGAUCGGCCGUGGCGACUCGUGGGCUGGAGCACUGUAGAGGCAGGUGGAAUUCCGGGAGUAGCGGUGGAAUGCGUAGAGAUCCGGAAGAACACCAGUGGCGAAGGCGGCCUGCUGGGCAGUGGCUGACGCUGAAGCGCGACAGCGUGGGGAGCAAACAGG